AAAAAAAAAAAAAAGUGUUGACAGGAGGUAGUUGCUAUCUUUGGUUAUCUAGCUGUAUGAGUGUUUAUCUUCCUUCAUAAAGCUAGAUAACCGAAAGUAGAAACGUCCUCCUUAACUGCAUAGUGGACAAGUUGGGAAGCAAUGAUCGCAGGGAACUGCAUGAGCCUCUCAAACUGCUGUGUCUUUGUGAGAGACCAGAGGACUGGAGCUAAGGGGGAAAACGCCAUCUGUGACCAAUCGCACAGCUGGCUAUGAGAGCACAAAAGCCGGACGUUCAUGCCUUCGCAUGAUUCGUGUUGAGCUAAUGCACAACUAUUUACAUUACUAAUACCAGCAACUGCCAGCCAUUUACACUGCCUUUUUGGAGCAAGAGGGAGAGAGGAAAAAAUGGUGCAAUUGUCCAAAUGAAAGAAAAGAAAAAUAAUAGUCAACCCUCAUCCUUCUUCUACCAGCUCCCCUCCCUUCUUCAUCAACGGAAGCAUUUAGUGCCAUCUGUGCCCCCGGAGAAAAGAGGAAAAAAGGAAAGGAGUGAGACUCUACAUCCCAAGUGCCAAUGGGGACAAAGAGGCUGCCAGUUGCCACGGACCACCAGAUGCAGGAAGACUGCAAGUCUGAAUGAGGGGUGUGCUUUCAGGAAGCCAUCUUGAUGGAGAAACUGGCUGCUGCUCCCUAAAAUGGCUGUGUUGGCAUGAGGCUCCUGGCGAUGAAACUCUGAAAAAUUCCCAUCAUUGUCAUCAGCUGCUGGAGAAACCGUGGCCAUGCUGCUAUGUUUGACUCAAAUGGUCAAUCACAUCACCUCAGGAAUCCAGCGUCCAGCAUUUCUUCCAGAUGGUUCGCUGUGAAAAUUUAACAAGCAGAUGAUUUCGAAUGUGCACUAAUUGUCUUAAAACCUUGCAGACAAUCAGUAAUACUGGAUGGGUGUGUGGAUUUGGGCUGUUCGCCCAGUUAAAUCUUAGAUGUUAGAAAAUGUGUUGUACAAUCUUAUCAGUGCUGUGUAAACUGAAGAGCAUAAUGUGCCUUAAUGUGUGAAAAGUUUACAAUGAAAGUAGUUGUUAUUGAAACAUGUCAGUGCAAUCCCGAUUUUAAAUAUUAGUAUUUUCAAUGACCUUUCAUGUUAGUCAUCCAUGUUUCAUGUUAUUAUAUUAUAAAAUGUGCCUGUUUCAGUUGAUUUACAGGAAAUUGGUUAAUCCAGAUAUUUUGUAUGGCUACUGUAUGUAUGGUUUAAUACAAGAAUUAUGCUCAGUUUCUCUCUGGAUUAUCAUUUGUCUGAUUAUGUGAUAUGUGAAACAAAUUUAUUAAGCUGCACAAAUAAACAACAUUAAAGCACUGAGUAAAUGAUUGUUGGAUUGCUGAAAAAGCCAUUUUAAGUUAUACUCUGUAUAGAAAUGUACUGUAAUGGGAGGUGGACAUCAACACAGCUUCACAUGUAGUGGCCACAGGCUAAUUUGUAACCACCUACUUGAAGACAGCUUGACAGCUCAUAGUUCUGGUGCUCCUGUCAGCACCUUGGACAGCACAUAAUAAGCAAGUGCAGAAAAUAACUAGCAGUGAAUCACCUCUCUUAUUCAUGCAGAAGUCACAAAAAAAAAUAAUAAUAAUAAAACCUAUGUGCUGGCCUGGUGUGAGUAAGCGCAGUGUGCUUAAGGUGACGUGUUUGUGUUUUUAAUCUGUGGGAAGGGGAUCAAACAAUUUUGUAUAAUUCUGUCAGUGGGAUUUGUUUGACUGGCAAACACUCAAACACUGCAUGUCAAUGAUUGUUUUCAUUUACUGAGAUUAUAUCUGAAGCAUAGUCUACAUAAAACAGAGAAUUUGUCACGUUAAAAGAUUAUCAACAGAUUUAACAUAUGAAGUAAAAUUAUUUUGAGCCAAAAUUGAGAGCUCAUUUCUAUGUCUGAGCUGGAAUAAUCAUUCAUCACAUUGUCAGCUGAUGAGAAAUAUACCUGGUGUAAAACACUGGUUAAAUUACAUUAAGCCAUAAAGGAAGGAUUCACACACAGCUCUCAAGUUAAGAUGGAUGUCUAUGACAAAUCUGACAAGAUUUAAUCUUCAGUUGAAAUUUAAUUUUGAUGGGUGUUUUUCCUGCGCAGUUCCAGAAUCACAAACACAUCUGAAGAGUUUUCACUCUCGAGUUUGUCAGUGAAUCGUGGAGUAGUACAAAUGAUCGUGUGCUCUAUCAAAUAAAACCUUUAUAUCUUAUGUUAAAAUAGGCCUGCUUUUAAUUAGAUUACUUCCAACCAAUAGCCUAUAUAACUUAAUCGGAAUUUGAAUAUUAUAUUUAAAAUACGUUUCUGUACAUUUUUACAUAUAAUUCCACGUCUGUUGCUUCAUUCAGUUUUUGUGGAGCGUACAGAAGACGGGCAGAUCAUUUUUAGAGCUUAAAGAGAUUAAAAAGUUUACGUUCUCAAUAUCAUCUUAUCAAAACAUGUUGCAGGCAGUGGUGAAAUGCAUACGUUGAAUAAGUUUGGGCACAAACUUUGGUUACAUGAACUAUUUCACCACCGAUAAUGCUGAGAAUGUUCUACCUGAUUUUACGCGAAAAAACAAAAGAUGUGGAAACUAUUCUCCAUUUUAUUGCAUAAUGAAACUCCUUCCCACCAGUUUAUAUCAUUUAUUAUGGCGUAAUUGACUUGCAUCAAUUAAAUUAACAAAAAAGGGGGAAAGAAACAAACUGACGAUAUCAACAGAACAAAAUUCAUUUAUUUUAUUUCAUUACAAAACUUUACAACUAUCCAUCGUAUAUGCUAUUCAACAAACAUUUACUGUAAGCAAUAACCAAUCUCUGUAUUAGAUUUCCAGUAAUUUAAAUCAUAGCGUUCAUAUCAGGAUAAGCCUGUGGAGAAAGAAGAGACUCGUUAGUCGUCGGAUGUCGAGUUAAUAUUGUAGGAGAGACUGCACUGCUGUAACACGGGGUAAGUUGUAAGUUUGCAAUUAGAAAUCAGCUACAGGGGUGAAAUCUGCAUCAUAUACAUGAGCACCACUCCACUGAGUUAGAGGUACAAAUCGUAAGACUCUCUGUAAAAAUAUAGAAGAUUUACAAGGCAAAAAAAUUCGAGAUGUCUCCCCGUCUCUUUUAAUUUAGUGUGAUGAAUGAUUUUACAUUACAUAUGGGUUAAUAUCAUCUGAUUCAGCAGGUUCUCUUGUUCAAUUUGAAAUACACACACGCUUUUAAUUCAAAUUUUAUAUCUGACCAGACAGGAAGGGUUGUAACACUUUCCAAUGCAGAAAUAUUGAGGGCAACAACAGUGCAAACUCAACACACAUGUCUGUUUUUACAGUGUGUUUGUUCCCAAAUGUAUUUGCUGUUUUGCUUUAAAUUGUUCUAUAUUUGUUAAAUUAAAAUGUUUAAAAUGUCCAUGUUUUCUAUUAAUGUUUUAACUCACCACAGCAGUUGUUACAGUAGCGCUCUUUGCACUUGACAUUCAAUUUCACAGUUUAGGUUGUAGAUUUUAAAACAACUGUUUUUUUUUAUUAUCAUUAUUGGAUUCUGAAUAUGUUUAUGUGCAGAUAAACUGUAUCGAUGUUAUGUUGGAGCCAGCAAAAAAAAAAAAAAAACCCUUUGCGUAUAGCUAUCGAAAUGGGGGAAGUGCAUAGAUUGUUUCUAUAGUUACACAUUUUAUAACCUAGCCCUAAAACCCACACUCCAAACAUGACAAAACCAUCUGCAUUUUUACAAAUAUGGUUAAGUAGCCUAGGUACACACACUCCAUGUUCUCCCCUCAUCUUUACAACAGCUUUUCUAGCUGACCUCUGAGGUUUAAGCAAUAGAAUAGGGUAUGACUGUUCAUGGUUGACCAAGGGGUCAGACCACUCUUAACUGACCAGACACGUGCUCUUUGCUCUAAACAAGCCUCUUAAAGAAAAAGAAUAGGUCUUAAACAAAUGAUGAGCCCGUGGGGGAGGGGAAGUUUGUUAUUCUGCGAAAAGAACAACAUUCUUCAUGCGCAAGCAACAUACAUAUUAGUCUUGAUGUAUUGUUAAAAUAGUCUAAAUGAAAAAAAGUGAAGUCACAAACAUCUAGAGCACAGUGAAAUACAUUUUAAUGUGCUAUCAUAGCUAGGCCUUUGUCAAAAUGUAGGCUUACUAUUAAUAUAAUUUCUAAAACGUAUUUAGCCAUUUUACAUAAAUAUUAACCAAUCUGCGAUCCAGAAGUCAAAGGAGACUUAAUUGAUGCCCUUCAGCGUCAUAUUUGAAGUUGAUGUCAACGCAAGUCUCUCGAGCACCAGUCACAGCUGACACAAGGGUCAGAGGUGAUGUGCUGGGUUCAAGUGGUUUGUCCAGUUAUUCCCAAAGGGCCAAUCGAAUGAUCUAAGAUGAAAGAGAUGACAAGAUUUUGCUCUGUGUCCCACUAUUAAUUCUUCUGACUUCAUUUUACUUAAAAAGAUUGUAGGCCUAUUUGAAAGCAUCUAGACAUAAAUGAGGCUUAGGCCUUAUUUCUGUUUAGGCUUUAAUGACAAACGCAUUUCUUUUAUUUACUUAAUGUUUGGAUAAAAAUAACUAUUUGGUUAAAAUAAAACAGGGUAAAUGCAUCUCAGUUUAAGCUUGGAUAACAAAAUGUAAGCGUCGACUAAUUAAAAACAUUUCAUAACAUCAAAGGACACCGUUGUUUGUAUUCUGAUCUAUCUACAUUUUUAUUCUGCUGAAUUCAGAAUUCCGAUGUAGGCUACAUUCUUCAUGUUUUGUUAUUAAACGGGACGCAUUAGAACGCUAAAAACGCCGGAAAUGACCCACCAAAGUGCGCGCGCUAACUGCAGGUGUUAAGUCACGUGGCGCUGUAUGAUCGUUUGUGUUUAUUCAUUUAUUCUGCUCGGAUUUUCUGCUUGUCAUAAGCAGAUAAAUAGCAACCACUGUACAGCGAGGCAUAAAGGUCUCACCUAUUUAGAAACACUGAGAAAUUAAUCGUGAGGCGUGACGUAGGGGAGAGAAAACAUUAUUUUUUCGUUAUAUGGUUAAAGUAAACAAAGAAACUAACAUUAGGGGAGAGUUUUUAAGUUUAACCGAUUAGAAAUCAGCUAGGCUACAUGACUAAAAUAAUGAGCAGCACCCUUCUGAGCUAGAUGUUAGCUGUUAGUGUAAAACAAAAGAUUUAUAAGAGAGAGAAAAUAAACUACAAAUUCACGUCUGGAUUAUAGUUUAUGCAUUUGUGGUCACGUCGUUUUUAAAUGACAGAAAUAUAAUCUGAAACAGUAGCCUAGUUUUUGUUUAAUUUUGAUAUAGGUUAUAACACACAAUCGCAGUUGUGACGCAUUCACAACACACAACCUGUCUGAUCCAUAUUUUUUAUAUGUAGCUAUUUACGUUGUUUUUUUCUGUUUGUUUCUCAUUUUAUUUUCUGCUUUAAAUGUAAAUGUUUCUUGUAUAUUUAAAAUAUAAAAGAGAGUGCGAAAUAGAGAGAGAGGGAAUAUGGGUGGUGAUACAUUUUUUUUUUUUUAAUUUCCACAUAAAUUUAUGUUUAAACAGUUCAUGUUUUCUAUUGGAUUAAACAUGAAAUUAAAUUAACUGAUUUUAAACAAAUAAUGGAAUUUUAUUUCAAAGUUUGAGACACAUGUAGCACAAAAAACACAGAGCUAUACAGGCGUAGAAAAUGUGUUGCAACACGCCUCGGUCUCCUCUAACAUACGGUCCCCAAAAUACUGAAAUAUCCACGGAGAAAAAAAAAAAAAGCUCAGCACCGAAAGUCUUUCAUUAAGAGCCAGACGAGCAGCAAUUAGCGACAGAGCAGCUCAGCAAAGCCAAGAGCGCCGGGAUUAUUGUCCAAUCAUUUAUAUCUUCCAAACCAGUAAGCAUUAGAGUUUGUAAUGUAAGUUAGCAUAAGAAUAGGAACAGGUCCUGUGAACUUCCCCGACCUUCUGACCCUCUUUUACCGAGAUGAAUAGCACCACUUUCAGACACCCCAGCCUCUUCAACAGGCUUGAACCAUGCCUAAAUUCCCAAUCAUGGUAAUUUAAUAUAUCUUAAGCCCCCCCGGCUGCAUGAUUCCAGUUUUUCUAUAGUUUAAUGUAGGCAUCUGUGUCGAUUCACUCCUUACUCGGGCUGCUACGGGACUAGUUUUCUCUUAUAACCUAUAAAAGCCAAGAUGAAUGGCGUUCCCAUCUUUUCAGUGUCAUUUUGAUAAAAAGACAGUACAAUUAGUCUACAAUCAGCUCCACAACAAUAACACUGUUAGGAUGCAUCCGAAAUCGUGCACGACUGAUGUAUACACACACUUGCUUUCAUAAAAGCAAACUCUUUAUUUAUUUGUUUCUUGGGAGGUUUGCAGUUUAUUGAAAUAACUAAAUAGCAAGUGGAAGCUCAUGACUGAUUCUAAACAUUGCUCAGUGACUGGCAGGUUUGAGGCGCGUGCGCGAGUCUAACAAAUGCCCCUGCCUCUUUGAUGAAUGGCGAAUAUCUAAUGAGGCAGAUGGGCACCUACUGUACUUUUCAUUGUUUGCAGAUAAUGCAUCGAUUAAUAAGCCCUGGCACAUUUGAUUUAAAUGUUACAUAAAUGUUUAUUAAUGGAUUUCCAAUAAUAAUGAGACACUGAGGAUGCGAGAGCCCAUUUUUUGCCCGUCAAGCACGCCCCACGCGAACUGCCUAUUCACGCAUCUGAAGAACUAAAGGAAAAAGGCGACAUCUUUUGGCUGGAAUACCAACAAUAGAAGACACAAACCCGCCGCAUCCCUUGAACAAGGCAUUGAACAAGCACUUGAAUCCUGAAAUAGAUGCUUGCGAUUAUGCAGAACUAACAGGCACGGCUCACAUGAAAAUAAAUCCUAAAUGAUCAAUAAAGUAUCAAUAGCCUACCCCACAAUGAUCUACGCCUCCAUCUAGGGGAUGUGCGUUGGUGCAAGCUGCUGAGUGGAUAUUAAACUGUAUGAACAUCAAG
ensembl:lncRNA